rnacentral:rRNA from 1 species
GAUGAACGCUGGCGGCGUGCCUAACACAUGCAAGUCGAGCGAUUCUCUUCGGAGAAGAGCGGCGGACGGGUGAGUAACGCGUGGGUAACCUGCCCUGUACACACGGAUAACAUACCGAAAGGUAUGAUAAUACGAGAUAAUAUACAUUUAUCGCCUGGUAGCAGUAUCAAAGCUCCGGCGGUACAGGAUGGACCCGCGUCGGAUUAGCUCGGUGGUAAGGUAACGGCUUACCAAGGCGACGAUCAGUAGCCGGCCUGAGAGGGUGAUCGGCCACAUUGGAACUGAGACACGGUCCAAACUCCUACGGGAGGCAGCAGUGGGGAAUAUUGCACAAUGGGCGAAAGCCUGAUGCAGCAACGCCGCGAGAGCGAUGAAGGCCUUCGGGUCGUAAAGCUCUGUCCUCAAGAAAGAUAAUGACGGUACUUGAGGAGGAAGCCCCGGCUAACUACGUGCCAGCCGCCGCCGUAA